rnacentral:sRNA from 1 species
UACCCAUUCGAAAAUAUAAAUCUUGUCUUCUUCAAGCGCAUCAUCAUAGUUUGGUCGGCCAGCUAAAAUCUCCAAUAAGACCACGCCAAAUGCGAAGACAUCAACUUUCUCAGUCAUACGGCCUCUCAUGGCAUACUCAGGUGCAAGAUAACCACUGGACAAAGGAGAGCCAAAAAUCUCAUUAGCUUUAGUACUCCGUAGUUUGUAAAGACAAAGGUGAGAAAGAUGGAAUGAACUUACAAUGUACCAGCAACUUUCGUGCUGACAUGCGUUUUCUUGUCAUCAUAAAGUUUGGCCAGCCCGAAAUCUGAGAUCUUAGGAUUGAGAUUGGCAUCAAGUAAGACAUUACUGGCCUUGAUGUCCCUGUGAAUAACACGGAUGCUGGACUCUUCAUGAAGAUAAGCCAGACCUCUUGCAAUGCCUAAGCAUAUCUCAAAACGUGCUGGCCAGUCAAUGUUCAAUUUCUCAGUUCCUGCAAAUGAA